rnacentral:misc_RNA from 1 species
UUGUGGAGGAGGACGCCGAAGGUGGGGCUAAUGACUGGGGUGAAGUCGUAACAAGGUAGCCGUACCGGAAGGUGCGGCUGGAUCACCUCCUAACAGGGAGACAACAAAAUGUUAAAUAUUAAUUUUGUCACCUUAGGUCGAUCGGUAUCUCACAUUCUUAAUUUAUUUAAGGAUUUUAUUUCCUAAGUUUUUUCUAGGUCACACCCAUUAUUUUCCCUGGGCCAUUAGCUCAGGUGGUUAGAGCGCACCCCUGAUAAGGGUGAGGUCCCUGGUUCAAGUCCAGGAUGGCCCAUAUCUCUAUGUUGGGGGUAUAGCUCAGUUGGUAGAGCGCCUGCUUUGCAAGCAGGAUGUCAGCGGUUCGAGUCCGCUUACCUCCACUGAUCACCGCCUCUUCCAUAAUUUAUAGAAGGGAAAAUUUGAGUUGUGAUCAAAUUCUGAACGAAUCUAGCUUCCUAAUUUUUCUUUAAGAUGCUGGACUCAUUGAAUUAAUUUCAUUGUUUUCAGAGAACCUUGACAACUGCAUAGAUUAUUUUUAAAGACAAUAAGCAUCUUUAAUGAUGCAGAUUUAUUAUUUGUGCGAAUGCAUUAAUAACAAUUCUAUUAAGCUGAUGCUUCAAUUUUGAAGUUAUUGGUCAAGCUACAA